AAUGAUGAUGAUGCUCUUAUGUUGUUUAGCCAGAAAGCUUUCAAAAAUGACCAACCUGCUGAAGAUUUCUUGGAUCUAUCCAAGCAAGUCGUGGGUUAUGCUAGUGGCCUUCCACUGGCUCUUGAAGUUAUAGGUUCGUUUUUGCAUGGAAGAAGUAUCCCUGAAUGGAGAGGAGCGAUUAAUAGAAUGAAUGAGAUUCCUGACCGCGAAAUUAUUAAAGUGCUUCUCGUUAGUUUUGAUGGCCUCCAUGAAUUAGAGAAGAAAAUAUUUUUAGACAUUGCCUGUUUCCUUAAGGGAUUUAAAAUUGAUCGAAUAACAAGGAUACUUGACGGCCGUGGAUUCCAUGCAAGUAUUGGAAUACCAGUUCUUAUUGAGAGAUCUCUCAUAAGUGUCUCUCGGGAUCAAGUCUGGAUGCAUAAUUUAUUACAGAAAAUGGGUAAGGAAAUUAUUCGUCGUGAAUCCCCUGAAGAGCCUGGAAGGCGCAGUAGAUUGUGGACAUACAAGGAUGUCUGCCUUGCACUGAUGGACAACACAGUGAGUAGCUGAUAGAGAACAUUAUUCAUAAGAUUUCAUAUAAUUUAUUUUAAUUUACUCUCUAUCUCUACUUUGUAUUUGUUUUUUACUUGUAUUCCCUUUUGGUUGACAGGGAAAAGAAAAAGUAGAAGCCAUUUUCUUGGACAUGCCUGGAAUAAAAGAGGCACGAUGGAACAUGAAAGCCUUCUCUAAAAUGAGCAGACUAAGAUUGCUCAAAAUCGACAACGUGCAGCUUUUUGAAGGUCCAGAAGAUCUUUCCAAUAAUUUGCGAUUUCUUGAAUGGCAUUCUUACCCUUCAAAAUCAUUGCCAGCUGGUUUACAGGUGGAUGAGCUAGUUGAACUUCACAUGGCUAACAGUAAUCUUGAGCAGUUAUGGUAUGGGUGUAAGGUGAGAUCAACUAAUUUAAGGGCCUUUGUAUUUCUUUUUAUCAUUUUCCUAUAUAUGUAUGAUAGUAUUUCUUCUCCCUUGCCUGAUUGCAGAGUGCAGUAAACUUGAAAAUCAUCAAUCUUAGCAACUCACUAAACCUGUCCCAGACUCCAGAUCUUACUGGAAUUCCAAAUCUCAAGAGUCUGAUUCUUGAAGGUUGUACUAGUUUGUCUGAGGUCCAUCCAUCACUUGCACAUCACAAGAAGCUUCAACAUGUGAAUCUUGUGAAUUGCAAAAGUAUUAGGAUUCUCCCAAACAAUCUAGAAAUGGAAUCACUUGAAGUUUGCACUCUUGAUGGCUGCUCAAAACUUGAGAAGUUUCCAGAUAUAGCAGGAAACAUGAACUGUUUGAUGGUGCUUCGUUUGGAUGAGACUGGUAUUACAAAACUAUCUUCAUCGAUUCAUUAUUUGAUUGGCUUAGGUCUAUUGAGCAUGAACAACUGCAAGAACCUUAAAAGCAUUCCAAGUAGCAUAGGUUGUUUGAAAUCCCUUAAAAAACUUGAUCUGUCUGGCUGCUCUGAACUUAAAUAUAUACCAGAGAAUUUGGGGAAAGUUGAAAGUUUGGAGGAGUUUGAUGUAAGUGGAACUUCAAUAAGACAACUGCCAGCAUCCGUUUUUCUUUUAAAGAAACUUAAAGUAUUAUCUUUGGAUGGAUGCAAAAGAAUAGUUGUGCUGCCUUCUUUGUCUGGUCUGUGUUCUUUAGAAGUACUGGGUUUACGCUCUUGCAAUCUAAGAGAAGGGGCACUUCCUGAAGAUAUUGGCUGGUUAUCUUCAUUGAGGUCUUUAGAUCUGAGCCAGAAUAACUUUGUUAGCCUGCCUAAAAGCAUAAAUAGGCUUUCUGAACUGGAAAUGCUUGUCUUGGAGGAUUGCACGAUGCUUGAAUCAUUGCCUGAGGUUCCAUCUAAAGUUCAAACGGUAUAUUUGAAUGGUUGUAUAAGCCUAAAAACAAUUCCAGAUCCGAUAAAGCUAAGCAGUUCCAAAAGAUCAGAGUUCAUAUGUCUUAAUUGCUGGGAAUUGUACAAUCAUAAUGGCCAAGAAAGCAUGGGGUUGUUCAUGCUUGAAAGAUACCUCCAGGUCUUCUCUUAAUAAAACCCCAACUUUUUUCUAUCUCUCACCCUCUCCCUCUAUCUAUCUAACAUUUUGGUUCUUUAUGGUACAGGGUUUGUCUAAUCCAAGAACUAGAUUUGGUAUCGCUGUUCCAGGAAAUGAAAUUCCAGGCUGGUUUAACCAUCAAAGUAAGGGAUCUUCAAUUAGGGUGGAAGUGCCUAGUUGGAGCAUGGGGUUUGUUGCGUGUGUUGCAUUCAGUUCAAAUGGACAAAGUCCUUCUCUUUUUUGUCAUUUCAAAGCCAAUGGAAGAGAGAAUUACCCUUCGCCGAUGUGUAUUAGUUGUAACUCUAUCCAAGUUCUGUCAGAUCAUAUUUGGCUAUUCUAUCUAUCUUUUGAUUACCUUAAAGAGCUUCAAGAGUGGCAGCAUGGAUCCUUUAGCAACAUUGAGUUGUCGUUUCAUUCUUCCCGGACAGGAGUAAAGGUGAAGAAUUGUGGUGUCUGUUUGUUAUCUUCUGUAUAUAUUACACCACGACCAUCUUCUGCCCAUUUUAUCGUUACAAGCAAAGAAGCAGCUUCUUCAUAUAAAGCUUCUUUAGCUUUUUCGUCGUCGUACCAUCAAUGGAUGGCCAAUGUCUUCCCUGUCACCAGAGUCGCAGAUCUAGCCUCGAGAUUCAUUAUACCAGUCGAGAAGGAACCAGAAAAAAUAAUGGCAAUUAGAUCAAGACUCUUUGAGGCCAUUGAAGAAUCAGUGCUGUCAAUUAUUAUAUUUUCAAGAGAUUGUGCUUCUUUACCUUGGUGCUUUGAAGAGCUUGUCAAGAUUGUCGGAUUCAUGGAUGAGAUGAGAUCGGACACUGUGUUUCCAGUUUCUUAUGAUGUCAAAGAAUCAAAGAUAGAUGAUCAAACAGAAAGUUAUACAAUUGUCUUUGAUAAGAAUAGAGAAAAUUUCAGGGAAAACAAGAAGAAGGUACAAAGAUGGAUGCAUAUUCUCAGUGCAGUUGAGAUAUCAUCUGGAACACGAUCAUUGAAAAGGUAAUAAUUACUUCUUUUUUUAUGCCAAGGUACCUUAACUUAUACUGGGCAAGUAAAUGAAACUGGGAAUGCUGAAAUAUAGUGUUGCUUUCAAAACUUAAUGUUAACAAAUCUAAUCUAUUUAUUUUUAUGACCAUUAGGAAAUAUAUUUUUGAAAGUUAUGAGUUUUAAAUUAUAUAGUAAAUUAUUCAUUUUAUAAUUGAAAAAUUUAAACUUUAUAGCAUUUGAAUUUUAAAAUAACAAUAAUUGAUUCCAUGUAUAGUUUAAUGGGAAAAAGAAUGUUUAAUUUUCACGUCAUUUUUAUCUGAUCUAUUUUUUUAUGACAAUUUUACCUGAACCGAAAGAUAGAAAUUUCUUUUAUUAAAUGGUUCUGGAGGGAUACUGUUCACUCCUACCCAAAAUGCAUUAAUAAUUUGAAAGUUUGAAAAAAUUCUCAUUAUGCCAAGCUAUACAUACACACACGCACAGCACUUCUGACUCCUCCUUCUCACUCUUAGCGGCAUAGGAGCUCCAGCAACGCAGCAGCAGCAGAUCCAGUGUAUCCAGCAGUGGAUCGAGCUCCACCAGCAGCAGCAGCGAAUCCAGCAUCUCCAGCUGCUUGAGCGGCGGCAGGGAUGGCUCCAGUUGCUCGAGGAGCGGCGGCUGCGGCAGCCCCAGUUGCUCGAGGAGCGGCUCCAGUUGCUCGAGGAGCGGCGGCUGCUCAAGCAGCUGCAGAUCCAUUGGAUCCAGAAGUGCAAGCAGCUGCAGAUCCAUUGGAUCCAGAAGUGCAAGCAGCUGCAGAAGCGGCAGAAGCGGCAGCUGUGGGAGCUGCUGUGGGAGCCGCAGCUGGAGCGGGAGCAGGAGCGGCUGCGGGAGCUGGAGCGGCGGCUUCGGGAGCUGGAGCGGCGGUUGCUGGAGCAGCGGCUGCGGCUGCUGGAGCAGCGGCUGCGGCUUAUGGAGCAGCGGCUGCGGCUGCUGGAGCGGCGGCUGGAGCAGCUGCCGCUGAGUUUUGGGUAAUAUUAUUUAUGUUAAUAAAUUAAUAUAAAAAAAGAAGAUAAAGAGAUACAUCUUGAUUAUAACCAUCAAAGAUUUUAACUGUUCAUUUUUAUAAAUAUGUUUGUUAUACAGUAAUAGAUAAGUAAGAAAAAAAUAUAAAUAGAGGAGAAUGGACUCUCAAAUAAAAUUCUCUUUCAACUUUUAGAAAAAUUGUUUUUGCAAAUAAGGUAUACUUAAGCAGAUCAUAAAAAUGAUGAUUAUUUAUUAUUUAAUGUGAUUGUGAUUAACUAGUGAUACUAGUAUUAUAUUAUUUUUUAUAUAUAUUUUUUGAAUUAUAAAAAUACAUUGAAAAAAUUUAUAUAAAUAAUUUUUUAUAAAAAAUAAAAAUAUUUGACCUGCAACAAAUCAUGUACCAAAAUAAUUUGAUGUAAUCUUACCCACGUUUAAGUAUUAUAUUCAAAUCCCAACUAAAGUGAAGUGAAAAUGCAUGUUUCUCCUAUAAAGAAAUUGUCAAAUUUGUAGCAACCUGUUAUAAAGAAGAGAAAAAUAAAUAAUCAAACCAUCUAGGUGGUGAUCCAGUGGUAAGAGUUUGGGACUAAGGGGUUUGCUCCCUCUUAGGUCUCAGGUUCGAACCCUGUGAUCGCUCAUAUGAUGGCCACUGGAGGCUUACAUGGUCGUUAACUUCAGGGCCCGUGGGAUUAGUUGAGGUGCGCGCAAGCUGGCCCGGACACCCACGAUAAUCAAAAAAUAAAAAAAAAAAUAAUAAAUAAAUAAAUAAUCAGCAACAAACCAAAAUAAUGUAGUGAAAAUCAUAUUGUUGAAUUACAUGAUGCAAUUGUUUUUUGAAAAAGCUAGCAGAAACAGUUAAAUAUACAGCAACCUGUUGUAGAAAGAAAAAGAAAUAAACAGCAGCAAACAAUAUCAGUUUUUUAUUCUUUUCUUCUUAAUUUCAGAUCUUUCCAAAUCAUCCCUUGCGAAACUUGAUGCAACCAUUUGAUAUUGCAAGGAGUAGCUCCUCAAACAUUCUGACAACAUUAAAGCCAGAUUUUCUUUUCCUUAAAUACUGAAUUCUUCAACACUUGGAACAAUCAUCUAGAAUAAUGUUUGUCAGGAGUUUGGGAGAAAUUGAGGGUAAAUACUUGGAUGAUCUUUUAGCUGUAACCACGAAGAAGAUUUUGUUAGUUGCUCCACUUGUGGAAGACCCUAUUACAGAAGAUGAUAAAAAAGCAGAAAGUAGAAAAAAAAAUUUAAGCAGUGAAAGAUGAGCUCUAAAUCCCAAUUGAUUCAAAUAAAUGGACAAAUGCAAAAAAAAAAAAUAAAAAAAAUUGCUUGGUCGAUGAACAUCUCUGACCCUUAAACAAUGGUGCUUCCAGCCUCCUGUGCUUCUCUUAAGAGAGAAGCUAAUUUUGGAGUGUAAAUUGUUUUGAAGAUUAAUGAAUAGUGUUCAGAAGCUAUCCUUGGUUCCAUUCCAGCAGAUGUGGUAUUUGCAAGGAUCAUUCCUUCCUUAAGAUUAAAAUCUUUUAGUUAAGCAACUUCGAUUUAUUGCUUGUCCUCCAACUUUACCGGCAAGAACUUUGGCGUUGCCUGUCAAAUAAAUCAAUAAACAAAAGUGAUAUUUUAAUUAGCAAAUCGAUCGGUAAUUCAAUGUUCAUCUAAACAAUAUAUGAUUCCCAAAAAUAGGUUAAAGGGGAUAAAAAACCUAAUGGCACUAACACUAUAAAGGAUUCAUUUACAUACUUAUAAAGUUGGCAUCAACAAUGUGGAAAUCUAUGGCAUAACCAACUCAUAUUGAAGAUCACUUAUCUCUGCCUUCAAUAUUUUUAAGCAACAAUUUCAUAAGAACAAAAUCCUUCAGGAUCUUGGGUUUCCCUUUGCUAGUUUCUAUUUACGAUAUUGUUUGCUUUCACAACCAUGUAUAAAAAUCUUAAACCCUUGCUUUGAUAACCAUGCUUAUUAUAAUGCCUAUUCUUUAAAUUUGUUAAAAACAAUAGGAGUGCACCAAAAGCUAACCAACAGGAGCUCAUAAAACCUACAAAGGUUGAUAAAGAUUAGCAUGAACAUAAGCAAAAACUAAGCUGCCAUUUUAUAAAUGCAAUGACAUGGUCUCACUACGCGUGAACAUAUUCAUACGCACAGCAAAAAAUCCAUUAAUGCAAUCCCAGCAACUCAGCAAGUGCAAAAAACUAAAGCAGCUGGGAAGUUGCACCGGAGCCUAUUUUUAAGUGAUUGAAAACGGAAUCCCAUCGAUGAACUCAUUAUUUGAUUAAUCAACCACCAUCUUAGAAUCCACGUAUCAAUGCUUGGUAAAACACACAUCAUAAUGGUCAAAACAUGAUGAGCCCACGACACUCUACAUCACACAUCUAUUUCCAUACAUAUUUAGUGGAAUCUAUGAGGGUCCUUCUUAACUGCAGUCUUUAACUCAAUGAGAGAAUAUUUAGUGGAAUCUACCCUUUUAAAUAAGUCUGUUAUACAGUAACAGACAAGUAAAGAAAAAAAUAUUGAAAAGAAAAGAAUGUAAAACAAAAGAGAGGAGAAUGGACUCUCAAAGAAAAUUCUCUGCUAAUUCUCAGAAGAAUUGUUUCUGCAAAUAAAGUAUACUUAGAUUGUAAAUAAAAAUGAUGAUUAUUUAUUAUUUAAUGUGAUUGUGCUUAACUAGUAAUACAAGUUUCCUGACCAAAAAGAGUAUACUUUGAAUGAAAAAGAACUCAAGGGAUGCACAAAUGUGCAGGAUUGUUAUGCGCUCUACAAGCUUUAUUUAUAAAGAAAGUGGACGUGUUUCAGGUAUCAUAUUUCAGUAUAAUAAGCGUUAGGGAUAUUCAAGAAAACUGAAAAAUUGAUUAAACCAAAAAAAAUCAACUGAAAAAACCAAAUCAAGAAGAAAAACUAAAUAAACUAAUUAGAAAAUAAAAAUACUUUCGGUCCAGUUUAGUUUCAGUUUUAAAAUUCUAAAGCCGAUGGUUGGUUCUCUUCCUCCUUGCGAGUUUUUAUGGACACGUUCGGCCUCAGAGAUUAAUAUCUGAAACCCACAAUAAACCACAAAGAAACCCACAAUAAACCUGAUCAAGGCACAAACUGCAGCAACAUUAACCUGAUCAAAGUCCAUGACAACAACAAAGAAAGUGAGAAUUCAAAAUGUUAAAGAAUACAUAAACUUUUAGUUAUUAAACCUGUUCACAGCCCACAGCCUGGUCCUAAAUGAAACAAAAACUCCAGGCAAUGUAUAAAGCUCCCACAACCUUAAGAUUUUCAAUGAACCGAACUGAACUGUUCAAUUUGAAUUGAUUUUCAGUUCGUUCCGGAUCAUUUUCUCAAGAAAUGGAACCGGACAAUAAACACCCCUAAUUAAUAAUCAUCUUGGCUUCCAGCUAUCUCAAAAUUGCAAUCACAUCAGGCACAUGGAGUUGCAUUCGCAUUCACCCCUAACUAUUGUAAAGAUAUCAACGGUCCUAAUGAUGCCAAGUGUCAGAAGAUUAGCAAUUAAUAUUGUUAGCAUUCUGUUAGUAGUGUUUGUUAGUAAAAGAGAAUUUGUUAGCAUUAUAUUGAGUGUAAAAGAAAGCAUAUUCUCCGUGCAGUAUCUUCCAAUACUGCAUAUAUAAAGUGAGAAAUAGUAAUGUAAACAGUUAAGCAAAAGCAAAUAAUAAAACAGUGCUAUAAUUUCGUCUUCUGCUUCUCUGUGCAUAACAGAUUCAUUCAUUCUCUGUUCUUCACUCUCUGCUUCUUUUCUUCAUUUCCAUUUCAUUUCUAUAUAAAUGUUACUGUCUUUCAACUAUGAACAGGAACCGAAUUAAAAUGAAAUGGAUUUCUUGGAAAUUGAUAUCCUUGUUCUGCAGGAACCCCAAUUAAAUGAAAUGGAUUUCCUGGAAAUUGAUCUCCUUGGUCCACAGCCUAUUUUCUCCGAGACCGUGCAACCUGUUGAAAACUUGCAGUUUGGCGUUGGCGGAUUCAGUCAGCUGGACCAGUGGUAUGAUGAGACCAUGUUUCUGUGCGACAAUAUAGAGCCAGCUGAUCAGGAAGUAGUUUCACAUUCAUCUAUGAAUUCGCAAGAGAGUAAUACAUAGCAAGUCGGCUACCACUUGCAGCACAAUUCAUCAAAAAACGAUGUGAAUUAUCAUUUGGUGUCAAACCAGGUGCAUGGAUUAUCAGCUGCAGCCACAAUUAUUUGAUGCAUAGCAAAAUAAUUAUUCAGAAUUAAUCACUCCUUGGCAGUCCUUUCCAACCAACUUUGAUGUGUUGUGCGCUCAUCUGAUGAAAAUAGCGGCCUUAAUUACGAGAGUACUUCCACUUUUACAUCAAAAAUGGCUGGGAUUUCCUUUCGUUAUUUAGUAAUAAGCUGGGUUAAUGAGCUUAGAGUUCUUAUGUUAUUGAUUUUGUUUUAAUAAGGUCUCUAAUCUGUGAGAUUUAUCAACCCAACCAUUGCUCUAUUAGUCCAUCCAUAUCAUUAGCCCUUUCCUCACUAAUGCUGUCGCACGUGGACGCGCGGAGGGGGUCGUUUGGAGUCGCCACCUAUAUUUGUUUCUUCAUUCAAUUAUUCUGCUGUUCAAGAUAUUAAGCGUUUAAUGUCGUGGUUAAUCAGUUUUUUAAUUGCUUAAAAGGUUCCUGAAUAUAGGUAUUAUUUUACGAUUUUCUCUUUUUGUUUAUGCAAGAGGAGCAAAGUAAUUACAGAAAAUUCGAUUAUAUGAAUGUGAUUUAGUUGUGAUUUUCCGGAAUUAUUGUUGAAUUUGGCACGUGUGGGCAUAGCCGCAUAGGAGUUUGGAAUGAUUAAUGUGAGGAAAUUGUCUGUUUAUGAUGACAACUGUUAUAUUGUUGUGGUAGGUUCAGAUACCAUGGAGGAUGGUAACAUGCAAGAGCAGGUUAACAGAAAUCUUUCCGAUGAUAAAAGCUGCAUGCCUUCAUUUAAACAGGAGGUCUGUCUUUCUUUUCUGCCUUCUAGUUGAUGGAAUAUAUGAAAAAUCAAAAUCAAAGGACUAAAUUGAAAAGAAAUAACACUUAUACAAAAGGGCAAAGGACAAAAGGAAACAAAAAAAAUUGAGGACCAAAUUGAAAAUAAUAAAACAAAAUAAACUUGAAUUGAAUGUUGAAAUUGAAAAAAAAAAUUAUCAUAAAAGGGUCAACUAAAAAAAAUUAAAAAUAAAAAAAAUAAGGAUCAAAUUAAAAAAAAAAAAGCUUAAAGAGGCAUGAGUUUUAAAGAAAUUGAGUCUUUCAAUAAGGCCCUUCUAUAAAAGUAGUGUUGGCAUCUCAAGUAUAAUCGUAAUGGUUUGUGUUGCAGAGUGCUUAAAGAGAUUUAUUUCCACACAAACAGAAUUUUUGAACGUAAAAGGAGGUUCAUCUAGGCAGAUCUAGGCACAUUGGACGUGGUAGUGUACCAAGUCCCGGCCAUGCUAAGUCUAACAAUGUGGAAUGGCUUUUUUUUUUUGGGCACGUUUAAGAGAAUGACCAUCUUUUCUUGGAUCUAAUUAUGGGAAUAACUCAAUCUCUAUAAGCAUUAGCUACAUUUGAUGUUCUAGACUCUAAUUUCCCUACACCUUUUAGGUAUAUAAAAAUCUUCCAAGAACUCACCAUAUUUCCAUCAAAUAUUAAUAUAGAUAUAAGAGAUAUUUAUUUUUCAUUAAAUGUUAUCAGAGUUUUUUUAUAGAAGAACAAUACUUAUAGGCUAUAAAUACACAAUAAGACAUUCAGAAUAGAGGUUCACAAUUUUAUUUUCUAUUCUAUAUGAAAUUUUAGAAUAUUAUUAUUAUUAUUAUUAUUAUUAUUAUUAUUAUUAUUAUUAUAUAUAUAUUUUAAAAAAAAUACUUAUUUAAAUAUCAGAUUUCAUCGUAAAUAUGUUCAUAGCAAAAAAAGAAAAAAGAAAAAAAGAGCUGAUUCAGCAAAGCAAAUUAUCAAGGGUCUGUAUUUGCUUUCAUUAAUUAAAAAAGCAAGAGAAACACAAUCCAUAUAUACAUAGUGUGUUCAUCCAAAUCAGUUGGAAAUUGAUGAUCCAAAAAACAGGAAGCAUUACAAACAACGCCCUGCAUGCCAUAGAGAUUAACAUAUUUUUUUUUUUCUAACCAAUAAGAAUCUGGGAACAAGACGCAAUAGCUAUUGAAUCCAAGCUCGUCUUUCCUCCUCUCCUUCUUUUUCUUGGGUCAAAAAUCAUCAUCACCUCUCUUUUUUAUCCCUGUUAAAAAGACCAAAACAGCCUUCAAAAACAACCUUACUCUCCAACAAACCAAAGACAAAACCUACAGUGUUUUACCAGUUACAGUGAUUUCACUGCAUGUUUUAGCUUUCUGUUAAUUAAUAUAUUUUAUGUGAAAAAAAUAAUAUAAAUAUUUAAAACAACAAUAAUUUAUACAGUAAACGGUCUUUUCGAUCCUACUAGACCAACAAAAUUAUAUAAAUAUUUAAAACAAAGUUAUUAAUAUGAUAUUUAUUAUGGAUUAUAUUUUAUUAUGCCUUUCAUUGUUAAAUUUUGUCCUCCAAUUUAUAAUUUGAAGUCAAUUGUUUGGAAAGUACUUGUCGAGCAUCAAAAGCAUUAGAGCAACUACAAUGCAAGAGGUAAAUGAAAAGCAAAAGGCAAAAAACUAUCAUUUUAGCUAUAUAUAUUAUUUUUAAUUUUAACAACUCUAAUCAAUGGUAUAGCUAUUUAAAUAGCUAAAAUACAUUUUCUUCUACUAAAAUACUAUUUUUACAUAUCUACAUACAAAAGCCAACGUAUCUUUAUCUAUGGUUCGCUUUUGUUUCUCUCUUUAAAGACACAACAAGAAGAAGAAAAGAAGCUUGCAAACCUAAAAAUUUUAACUUUAUUAUAUAAAACUGAAAACUGAAAAUAUUAAUAUAAAUAAAUUUUGAUUUUAAAAGUUUAAAAUUUAAACUUUAAAUUAUAUCUUUAAACUUUCAUAUUACUUCAUUAAUUUUAUAAAUUACUCACAUUAAUUAUAUAAUAAAUUAGUUUAAUAUAAAAUAUAUUAAAAUAUAAUUAGCUUUUCUAAAUCACUUCUUACUAUUGAAAUGCACAUAAAUAAAUAAAACUAUACUUAUAUUAUUUUAAAAACCAUUUUAUCAAUUUAAUUUUCAACUUUUAAAAAUAGCAUGUUUUAUUGGAGUUGCUCAAUGUGCAGAAUUAUACAAGGGAGAGGAAGGCAACAAAGGGAAAGAGACAAAAGAAGUCCAAAAAUAUUUAUUUUAAACAUAUGAAUCAACCCCUGCUCUUGACAGGAAGGUGCCUCUGCCGCCCAGUGCAACUCAAAUUUCGAUAUCCCUUUCAUUUCUCUUUUUGCCUUUUCUCCACCGAAAGUCCAUCUUCUUUACAGUGUAAGAAAAAGAUCAGUAAAAAAAUCCAGGAAACUUACCAGUACGAGUUCUUGACCUAAAGUAACGGGAAAAAAUUCGAAGUCAUUGGAAUAAAAAGAAAGAAAAGGGCUUUGGAAGUUGGUUACUCAGAUACCAGAAGAAGAAGAAAUAUUGGGCUUGGCUGGAUCUUGUGCCUCUUUAGCCAACACUUACCACUCGGUUUGUUACGUCUAGAUUCGUGAAAUACUCGUAGAAAUUUGGUGUUUUCUGAUUUCUAAGUAGAUUCAAUUUUAAAAUUCUAAAAUCAAUUGAACCAGAUUAAGUCAUAGACUAGUCAUUAUUGUUAUAUUCCCAUUAUUAUUUAUUAUUCUAUAGAUUUUUCUACAUUGAAGCUUUUGAAAAGAAAAAUUAACAUUGAUCAUUCAUUCACUUUUGAAAAAAAUUUGUUUUGCUUUUUUAUGUUGUUCCACUUAGAUGACCCUUUUUUUUUCUUUUGUGAAUUGAAAUUAUAUUACAUGUUCGUAAUUGUUUCAUCUCAUUUUUAUUUAUUUUUUUAUUUUUGAAAAGUAAACUUCCUUUAAUUAGAUUAUCUUUAAUAUUAAAUUAUCUCUUUGCUUUUUACAGGUCUUAUCAAGCUGUUUGGUUUCUUGAUUUUCAAUGAAUUGAAUUUGGUUAAAUUUAAAUUGAUUUUUAGUUCAUUUCAGAUUAUUUUCUCAUGAAAUGAAUGGGACAAUAAACACUCUUAAUAAUCAUCUUAGCUUUAACUUUAACUAAUUAUCUCAAAUAGAGAUUGCUAGUUCGAGUCUUACAAAUUUCAAGAUUAUUGAAGAUUUAUAUAAUCGUUAAUUUCAGGAUUUGUGGGAUUAGUUAAGAUAUCUGCAAACUGUCUCACGUAUCCAUGUUAAUUAAAAAUUACUUACAAUCACAUCAGGCACAUGGUUGAAUUAUUCAUGGUUGCAUUCGCUUUCACCCCCUGACUAUGAACAGGAACCCCAAUUAAAUGAAAUUGAUCUCCUUGGUCCACAGCCUAUUCGGUUAAGAUUUUAUGUUAAUAUUUAUAUUAGAUGAGUCCAGCUAACCAUAAGCCUACAUGGAUGAAUAUGAGUUAAUGGUGAGUCGAGCUUGUAUAAUUAUAAUUUAUGGGUAACGAAAGUUGUGCCCAGUAUUUCUAUAAUACGACGAGGUUUAAUUUCUUUUCUUUUCAUGGUUAUCUCUCAGUGGAUAGCAGUAUCAAUCAUAAGAACUUCUAUAUUUAUAUUUAAUUUAAAUACUAAUUAAACGUGAUAAGAGUGGGAGUUAAAUAUAAUACUUUUAUUGGAAGCUUCUGCGAUGUGCCCAUCAAAUACGACUAUAGUGAAUCCCUGGAUAAGAGAUUGUUGCUUAAAAUAAUGUAUAACAAUGAGAAGAAGAACUUAAAAGAGUGUAUUGUGUGAUUGUUAAUGGGUGUGAUUGUUAAUUGUUAUUUGUGUAUGUUUGUUACUUAGUAAUCUUAAAUAUUUAUAUAUCUCAUAUCACAUGAAAUUAGCUUGGAAAGAGUGCAACAACAGAUAUAUCAUGCAUAUAUAACAUCUAAAAUCAUGUAUAAAGAAAUAUUUCCAAGGAAUCCUAGAGAUCGAAAUUCUCUCCAUCUGUGCAACUUCCCUUGGAUUCUCGCUUUUCGUCCUCACCAUUCUAAGGAUAUGCUUCCCGAGGACGUGCGAAGUAGAAACCAACAGCUUGGCCAAGUAGCAGUUGUUAAGUCAGUUCUAAAGAUAUUCGCUCUCUCUCUUUUUUAUGUGUCCUUUGGCCCCAUCAUGUAUAAUGAAUCUAAUUAAACUGGUUGAAUUGAUUUUUAUUUUAUUUCAGAUGAUUUUUUCAUGAAAUGAAUAGGACAAUAAACUCUCUUAAUAAUCAUCUUGCCUUUAACUUCAAUUAGUUAUCUCAAAUAGAGAUUAUCAGUACCGUUACUAAUAAUUUAUAUAAUUAUUAAUUUUAAGACUAAUAUAAUUAAUCAUAAUAUAUGCAAACUUCUCCAAUACUCUUGUUAAUAAUAAAAACAAAAUUACAAUCACAUCAGGCACAUGGUUGCAUUCGCUUUCACCCCCUGACUAUGAACAGGAACCCCAAUUAAAUGAAAUGGAUUUCUUGGAAAUUGAUCUCCUUGGUCCACAGCAUAUAUCCUUGGUCUGCAGGAACCCCAAUCAAAUGAAAUGGAUUUCCUGGAAAUUGAUCUCCUUGGUCCACAGCAUAUAUCCUUGGUCUGCAGGAACCCCAAUCAUUUUCUGGAAAUUGAUCUCCUUGGUCCACAGCAUAUAUCCUUGGUCUGAAGGACCCCAAUCAAAUGAAAUGGAUUUCCUGGAAAUUGAUCUCCUUGGUCCACAGCAUAUAUCCUUGGUCUGCAGGAACCCCAAUCAAAUGAAAUGGAUUUUCUGGAAAUUGAUCUCCUUGGUCCACAGCAUAUAUCCUUGGUCUGAAGGAACCCCAAUCAAAUGAAAUGGAUUUCCUGGAAAUUGCCUGGAAAUUGAUCUCCUUGGUCCACAGCAUAUAUCCUUGGUCUGCAGGAACCCCAAUCAAAUGAAAUGGAUUUCCUGGAAAUUGAUCUCCUUGGUCCACAGCAUAUAUCCUUGGUCUGCAGGAACCCCAAUCAUUUCCUGGAAAUUGAUCUCCUUGGUCCACAGCCGAUUCGGUUAACCAAGUCGGCUACCACUUGCAGCACAAUUCAUCAAAAGACGAUGUGAAUUAUCAUUUGACGUCAAACCAGGUGGAUUAUCAGCUGCAGCCACAAUUAUUUGAUGCAUAGCAAAAUAAUUAUUCAGAAUCACAGUACCUUGGCAGUCCUUUCCAGCCAAAUUGAUGUGUUGUGUGCUAAUCCGAUGAAAAUCAAGAUCCCAAAGAGGGUGAUGCCGCUGAUGUAGUAGUUGCAAUGCCGAGGACUUUUUUGUAUAUAUAAUUAUCUAUACUGUGUUUUUUAUUUUUAUUUUACUCGAUCUCAUAAUUAAAUUUUUGUUGCAUAAUUUUUAAUUAAUAAACAUGUAAUUAUAAAUGAAGGAAAGAAAAAAUUGGUUGGACUUGUUGGUUUCAAUUUUAUCUUUUUGGUUUUAUCUUUUUUAUUUGUUGUUUAAAGCCUUUUUUUAAGUCUUAAUCAAUUCUUUAUUUUUUUAUUAUUUUUUUAAGUAUAAAAGUAUAUUCCAAAGAAUAUUUUAAAGUUAUUGGGCAAAUAACAUUGUAAGCCACGGAGAGAUCAAUGGUAUGGACAAAAUCAAUAGUAUAAUGAUUGGACUCAAAAACUUUCAAAGAGAAAAUCAAUAGUAUACGAUCCCUCAAACUCAUUAACCCCUCACAACUCACUAACCUAAAUUCUGUAUUGAUGGUUGGAAUUGUGUUUGGGAUUUAAUUGAACUUUUUGUAAUUGUUUUUUCUUAAAAAAAACAUUUUAUAUUUUGUUACCAGGAUGGAGCUGUGAAAAUGAAGGGUUGUAGCGGGGAGGAAUGUUUUUUUGGAUUUAAUUUAAUGUUUUUUUUUAAUCUCAGUUAAUUUUAUAAUUUUCUUAAGAUUAAUCUUUUAAUAAAAAAAUAUGUAGGAGCUAUAAAAUUGGUGGGACUUAUUCUUCUUAUUUUGAUUUUUUUUUUUGAAAACAUGUUUUUCUUUUCAGUGCUUACGAACUAGAUCAAAACAUGUAUUACUUUUUAUUCUAUGUAAAUUGUCCUUAUUUACGUUUAAAAAAUAGAUGCUUGAUUUGAGAAUUCAUUACAAAACAUGAAUCAACUCAAUUGUGAUGUGUGUGGCCCAACCCCUGCUCUUGACGGGAAGGUGCCUCUGCUGACUGCUUCCCAGUGCGCGUUCGAUAUCCCUUUCAUUUCUCUUUUUGCUUUUUCUCCUCCGAAACUCCAUCUUCUUACAGUGUAAGAAAAAGAUCCGUAAGAAAAUCCAGGAAACUUACCGGUACGAGUUCUUGACCUAAAGCAACCGGAUAAAAUCUUUAUAUGUUUGAAUAUCUAAAAAGAAGAAAAAGCAACAAUUUUCUUUGAUUAUCCUUACUGAUAAUAUCAAAUCAUCCCUUUGCUUUUUUGCAGACUUUAUCAAGGUAUUUGGUUUCCUGAUUUUCAGUAUAAUAAGCAUUUGUGAUACUCAAGAAAACUAAAAAAUCAAUUAAACAAAAAAAACUCAACUGAAAAAAUUAUAUUAAAAAAAACUAAAUUAAUCGAUUAGAAAAUAAAAAUCUUUCAAUUCGAUUUAGUUUUAGUUUUAAAACUCUAAAACUAAUAGAAGCAGACUAAAUCAGAGUGGUCAUUAUUAUUAUAUUCCCAUUAUUAUUUCCUAUUCUAUAGAUUUUUCUACGUUGAAGCUUUUGAAAAGAAAAGCUAACAUUAAUCAUUCAUGCACUUUUGACCAAAUCUUUCUUUUGCUUUUUAUGUUGUCCAACUGAGAUGACUUUUUUUGCUCUUUUGUGUGAAUUGAAAUUAGAUUAGAUGUUUAUAAUUGUUUCAUCUCUUUUUUCUUUUUUUGAUAUGUAAACUUCCUUUAAUUAGAUAGUUUUUUUUUUCUAUUUUGUUUUGCAGGCUAAUCUCUUUUUUUUCUUUGAUUAUCCUUACUGUUAAUAUUAAAUUAUCCCUUUAUUUUUUUGCAGGUGCCAAGAUAUUCGGUUCCGAUUUUACAAUGUACCGAAUUGAAUCGGUUUGAUUCAAACUGGUUAAUUUUCAGUUUAUUUUGGAUCAUUUUCUCAAAAAAAUAUUGUUUCGUUGAUUUUUUAGAUCUAAACUGUACCAAUCCAGACAAUGAACAUCCUUAAUAAUCAUCUUAGCUUUAACUUCAACCAGCCAACUACCUCAAAAUUGCAAUCACAUCAGGCGGAUGGCGUUGCAUUCGCAUUCAUCCUAUUUUCUCCGAUACCUGUUGAAAACUUGCAGUUUGGUGGUGGCGGAUUCAGUGAGAUGGACCAGUGGUAUGAUCAGGAAGUAGUUUUAUCUUUUUCAUUUGUUGUUUAAAGCCCUUUUUAACUCUUAAUCAAUUCUUUAUUUUUUAUUAUUUUUUUAAGUAUAAAAGUAUAUUCCAAAGAAUAUUUUAAAGUAAUUGGGCAAAUAACAUUGUUAGCCACGGAGAGAUCAAUGGUAUGGACAAAAUAAUAGUAUAAUGAUUGGACUAAAAAACUUUGGAAGACAAGGGAACUCAUCAAAACAAAAUCAAUAGUAUACGAUCCCUCAAACUCAUUAACCCCUCAUAACCCACUAACCCGAAUUCUCUUGUUUUUGGAUAAUUAAAAAGAAUCCAUUUUUUAUGUUGUUUUGAAUUUUUUUAUUACUAUUUGAAUUUUUAUAUAUAAAAAAAUGGUUUGAUGAUAGAGGAAUCCGUCAUGUUUGUUUGUAUUGAUGGUUGGAAUUGUGUUUGGGAUUUAAUUGAGCUUUUUAUAAUUGUUUUUUCUUAAAAAACAUUUUAUAUUUUGUUACCAAGAAAAUAAAAAUCGGUAACAUUAUUGAGUAACAGUAAUAAGUUGUAAAAGAAAUAAAGAGAUAGCUUGAUGGAUUAAGGAGUUUAAGAGUUAAAGUGUGCUUUUAGAAAAAGGAUGAAUUGAGAUUAAAGGAAAGUAUGGAGGAGAGUUUAAUUCAAUUUGUUUUGGUUUUUUAUUCUUUAUUUAAUAAAGAUAAGAAAACUCUCUUCCAUGAUGAUUCAUUGUGUUACUUUUUAUAUUUGUUUUUGGAUUGAGUAGAAUUGAUAUUAUGUAAAGUGGUUUAAGACCUGUUUGGAAAUUUGAUUUUUUUUAAAAAAUUAUUUAUAUUUUUUUUUAAAUGUUUUUUGAUGUGUUUAUAUCAAAAUUAUUUUAAAAAAUAAUAAAAAUAAUUAUUUUUAUAUAUUUGUUUUAAAAAAUAUUUUAAAAAAUAAUCAUUAUUAAAUUUUUAAGUAUUUAUAGUAAAAGGUUUAAGAUGAGAUAUUGGUAAUGAAAGAAAAAUUGGUGUUUGAGAUUUGUAAAAAUCAAAAUUGGGCUGUUUGUUAUAAAAAUAUUAAAGUUUGAGAUUCUAAACUCAAUUCAAUAUGAUUUUUUUUUUUUUGUUUUUCGUUAAUUAGUUACAGUUAAUAGGGUGGUACGUGGCUAAGUUUCUUUUUUUUAAAAAAAAAUCAAUGGGAAUUUAUAAUAUUUAAUAUAAGAGUUUUACAGUUAAUAGUUUGAAAAUUCAUUAAAAAAUACUUUUCAAUUGUGAUGUGUGGGCCCAACCCCUGCUCUUGACAGGAAGGUGCCUCUGCUGCCCAAUGCGCGUUCGAUACCUUUCAUUUCUCUUUUUUCUUUUUCUCCACCGAAACUCCAUCUUGUUUACAGUGUAAGAAAAAGAUCCGUAAGAAAAUCCAGGGUUUUGGAAGUUGGUUACUAAGAUACCAGAAGAAGAAGAAAUAUCGGGCCUGGCUGGAUCUUGUGCCUCUUUAGCCAACACUUACCACAAGGUUUGUUUCGUCUAGAUUCGUGAAAUACUCGUAGAAAUUUGGUGUUUUCUGAUUUCUAAGUAGAAUUGUACAUGUUCCAGCUUGAAAUUGCUAAGUGGUAGAUUUAAUUGCCAAAUUUCUUGAUCUUACCUUCUGUUUCAUGUUUGACCACAGGAGCAGGCCUUACACAAAAUAGCGUGGACAGCAAUUGCUGAACCAAGCGAGCUAGUUGAGGCCAGAAGGGAUCGGUACUAGUUUAUCGCUAUAGGGAUUUUCAUGGCUUCCACCAGCGUGAAAGGAAUAACCUCAUCUUCAUCUUCAUCUCCUCCUCCUCCACUAUAUAUGCAUGAUGUGUUCCUUAGUUUUAGAGGCAAAGACACCCGGAACAACUUUACUAGUCAUCUAUAUUCUAAUCUGGCACAGAGAGGCAUCGAUGUGUACAUGGAUGAUAGGGAGCUCGAGAGAGGAAAGACCAUCGAACCUGCUCUCUGGAAGGCCAUCGAAGAAUCAAGGUUUUCUGUCAUUAUAUUUUCAAGAGAUUACGCUUCUUCACCAUGGUGCUUGGAUGAACUUGUCAAGAUUGUUCAGUGCAUGAAAGAGAUGGGGCAAACUGUUCUGCCAGUUUUUUAUGAUGUGGAUCCCUCAGAGGUAGCCGAGCAGAAAGGACAAUAUGAGAAAGCCUUCGUUGAGCAUGAACAAAAUUUCAAGGAAAACUUGGAGAAGGUCCGGAACUGGAAAGAUUGUCUCUCUAUGGUGGCCAAUCUAUCUGGCUGGGACAUUCGGAACAGGUAAAUCAUCAAUCUACUUAUUCUUAUUCUCAAAUCCUCCCUGUAUUGUUUCAAUGAUGAUCAUAGCUUUUUUUUUCAAUGUUUUUCAAUUUAAACGUGUGAUUAAAUAUCGAAAUAAUCACAAUACAACAAGAAUAUCAAAACUAAUUCUUGAGUAAAUAAUUAUUAGUAUAUAUUUUUUAUUCAUUAAAUAGCUUUUUAACGACCCUUUUGUCUAUGAUCAACCUAAUUUUUCUUUAAUUUUGACUUUUAAAAUAAAAGAGGAGCACGUCUCAAAUCUCAAUUGUCACAGUUUUUAUAAAAUAAAAAUUGAAAACAAAUUUAAAAAAUUCUUGAACUUUUUGCUAAUUUCUAUUAUUUAAUAGAUCGAAUCAUAAAAUUUCAAUUAUCUAAAUUGAAUUUAUUGAGGCAUCUUUAGAAAAAGUCAAUGUUACAAAGACACUUUUAGUAUCACCCCAGGCUUAUUCGUACUUUAUUUUUUGUGAUAAAAAAAAAAGAAGAAGUGGUUGGCUUAUCUAUAGAACAUACAAGCGAGCAGCACGAGCAAUUGUUUCCGACACCUAAAAAAGAUCUUCAUUGAUGUUUUCUGAUUCAUUGUUCAAUAUAUUAUCUUAAUAUUUUAAAAGUGUUUUUCUAGUAUGUAUUGAAUUUUUUACUUUCAAAUAUUAUUAUAUUUUAAAGGUUAGAAAAAAAUAAUACAACCCUGGAGCCAAAAAUCUGGUUAAAGAACUACACAUUGAAGUGAAGUUUUAAAAUGGCAACUUAUCAUUAUAUAAUUAUUUAAGGGUUAUUUAGUAUUUUUAAUAGCUUACCAUGUAUGGUUCAGUUUUCACGGCAUGACAGAUAAUAUAUAUUUAUAUACACACACACUUGACACGUGCAGGUCUCACAUGUCAAAAAAAUCUUCCUAUCUUUUUUUGUUGGGUUGAUCCUUCAAUUUUUAUAUUUAGUUAAUUUUAAUUCUAAUUAUUUCAUCUAUUAUUUUGCACAAAAAAAUAUAUGAACAAAAGUUAAUAUUUAUCUCAAACGAUCGCUAAAAAAUAAGUUUAUAUUAAUGAAAUGAUCAUUAUAUUGAAAUUAAUAUUAAGAUUGUAUAAAAAUUGAAAGACCAAGUAAAAAUUUAAAUAGAGAAGAAAGACGCAUAUGUGAUACAUGUGUAUCUCAAGGUGCGUGAACCAAUUAAACUAUGUUAGUCUGGGAAAUUAAUUUACAACAUAAUCAUUCUUAUCAGGGCCUAUCUUUCUCAAAGGUUGGUGUAUUAAUUUCCGGCUAACAACCAUACAUUUUCGAGCCAAAAUAUGCUAAUGUUUAUUUUUCUAUUAUCACUAUCUGAUUUGAUUUCUGCACACUGCAUGAUUAAUGUUUUGCACCCUCCUAUGCAGGAAUGAAUCGGAAUCAAUUAAAAUAAUUGCUGAAUACAUAUCGUACAAACUAAGCGUCACUCUGCCAACAAUUAGCAAAAAAUUAGUUGCAAUAGAUUCUCGUGUAGAGGUAUUAAAUGGCUAUAUAGGUGACGAAGUAGGCAAAGCAAUCUUCAUAGGGAUCUGUGGAAUUGGUGGCAUAGGUAAGACGACUGUUGCAAGGGUACUAUAUGAUAGGAUUCGUUGGCAAUUUGAAGGCAGCUGCUUCUUAGCAAAUGUCAGAGAAGUUUUUGCUGAGAAAGAUGGACGACGUCGUUUGCAGGAACAACUUCUUUCUGAAAUCUUAAUGGAACGUGCUUCUGUAUGGGAUUCUUCUAGAGGGAUUGAGAUGAUAAAGCGGAGGUUACGACUUAAAAAGAUUCUUCUUAUCCUUGAUGAUGUAGAUGACAAAGAACAACUAGAAUUCUUGGCUGAGGAACCUGGAUGGUUUGGUCCAGGGAGCAGAAUUAUCAUAACUAGCAGGGACAAAAAAGUGGUAACUGGAAAUAAUAAUAAUAGAAUUUAUGAGGCUAAGAAAUUGAAUGAUGAUGAUGCUCUUAUGUUAUUUAGCCAGAAAGCUUUCAAAAAUGACCACCCUACUGAAGAUUUUGUGGAACUAUCCAAGCAAGUUGUGGGUUAUGCUAAUGGCCUUCCACUGGCUCUUGAAGUUAUAGGUUCAUUUUUGUAUGACAGAAGUAUCCCUGAAUGGAGAGGUGCAAUUAAUAGAAUGAAUGAGAUUCCUGACGGCAGAAUUAUUGAUGUGCUUCGUGUUAGUUUUGAUGGCCUCCAUGAAUCAGAUAAGAAGAUAUUUUUAGACAUUGCAUGUUUCUUGAAGGGGUUUAAAAUAGAUCGAAUAACAAGGAUACUUCAAAGCCGUGGAUUCCAUGCAGGUAUUGGAAUACCAGUUCUUAUUGAGAGAUCUCUCAUAAGUGUCUCUCGGGAUCAAGUCUGGAUGCAUAAUUUAUUACAGAUAAUGGGUAAGGAAAUUGUUCGUUGUGAAUCCCCUGAAGAGCCUGGAAGGCGCAGUAGAUUGUGGACAUACGAGGAUGUCUGCCUUGCACUGAUGGACAACACAGUGAGUAGCUGAUAGAGAACGCUAUUCAUAAGAUUUCAUGAAGUUUAUUUUAAUUUAUGCUCCAUCUCUAAUUUGUAUUUGUUUUUUUACUUAUAUUCCGUUUUGGUUGACAGGGAAAAGAAAAAAUAGAAGCCAUAUUCUUGGACAUGCCUGGAAUAAAAGAGGCACAAUGGAACAUGAAAGCCUUCUCUAAAAUGAGCAGACUAAGAUUGCUCAAAAUCGACAACGUGCAGCUUUCUGAAGGACCUGAAAAUCUUUCCAAUAAGUUGCUUUUUCUUGAAUGGCAUUCUUACCCUUCAAAAUCAUUGCCAGUUGGUUUACAGGUGGAUGAGCUAGUUGAACUUCACAUGGCUAACAGUAAUCUUGAUCAAUUAUGGUAUGGGUGUAAGGUGAGAUCAACUAAUUUAAGGGCCUUUGUAUUUCUUUUUAUCGUUUUCCUAUAUAUGUAUGAUAGUAGUGUCCAAAUUUCUUCUCCCCUGCUUGAUUGCAGAGUGCUUUUAAUUUGAAAGUCAUCAAUCUCAGCAACUCACUACACCUGACCAAGACUCCAGAUUUUACUGGAAUUCCAAAUCUCGAGAGUCUGAUUCUUGAAGGUUGUACAAGUUUGUCUGAGGUCCAUCCAUCACUCGGAUAUCACAAGAAGCUUCAAUAUGUGAAUCUUAUGGAUUGCGAAAGUAUUAGGAUUCUUCCAAGCAACCUUGAAAUGGAAUCACUUAAAGUUUGCAUUCUUGAUGGAUGCUCAAAACUUGAGAAGUUUCCAGAUAUAGUAGGAAACAUGAACUGUUUGAUGGUGCUUCGUUUGGAUGGGACAGGUAUUGAAGACCUGUCUUCAUCAAUUCAUCAUUUGAUUGGCUUAGAAGUACUGAGCAUGAAAACCUGUAAGAACCUUAAAAGCAUUCCGAGUAGCAUAGGUUGCUUGAAAUCCCUUAAAAAACUUGAUUUGUUUGGCUGCUCUGAAUUUGAAAAUAUACCAGAGAAUUUGGGGAAAGUUGAAAGUUUGGAGGAGUUUGAUGUAAGUGGAACUUCAAUAAGACAACCGCCAGCAUCCAUUUUUCUUUUAAAGAAUCUUAAAGUAUUAUCUUUUGAUGGAUGCAAAAGAAUAGCUGAGAGUCUCACGGAUCAAAGGUUGCCUUCUUUGUCGGGUCUGUGUUCUUUAGAAGUACUGGAUUUAUGUGCUUGCAAUCUAAGAGAAGGGGCACUUCCUGAAGAUAUUGGCUGCUUAUCUUCAUUGAAGUCUUUAGAUCUGAGCCGGAAUAACUUUGUUAGCCUGCCUAGGAGCAUAAAUCAGCUUUCUGGACUUGAAAUGCUUGCCUUGGAGGAUUGCACGAUGCUUGAAUCAUUGCCUGAGGUUCCAUCAAAAGUUCAAACAUUAAAUUUGAACGGUUGUAUACGCCUAAAAGAAAUUCCAGAUCCGACAGAGCUAAGCAGUUCCAAAAGAUCAGAGUUCAUAUGUCUUAACUGCUGGGAAUUGUACAAUCAUAAUGGCCAAGACAACAUGGGGUUGACGAUGCUUGAAAGAUACCUCGAGGUCUUCUCUUAAUCAUACCCCCAACCUUUUUUUUAUCUCUCUCCCUCUCCCUCUAUCUAUCUAACAUUUUUGUUUUUCAUGGUUCAGGGUUUGUCUAAUCCAAGACCUGGAUUUGGUAUCGCUAUUCCAGGAAAUGAAAUUCCAGGGUGGUUUAACCAUCAAAGUAUGGGAUCUUCAAUUAGUGUGCAAGUGCCUAGUUGGAGCAUGGGGUUUGUUGCAUGUGUUGCAUUCAGUGCAAAUGGUGAAAGUCCUUCUCUUUUUUGUCAUUUCAAAGCCAAUGGAAGAGAGAAUUAUCCUUCGCCGAUGUGUAUUAGUUGUAACUAUAUCCAAGUUCUGUCAGAUCAUAUUUGGCUAUUCUAUCUAUCUUUUGAUCAUCUUAAAGAGCUUAAAGAAUGGAAGCAUGAAUCCUUUAGCAACAUUGAGUUGUCAUUUCAUUCUUUCCAGCCUGGAGUAAAGGUGAAGAAUUGUGGUGUCUGUUUGUUAUCUUCUGUAUAUAUUACACCACAACCAUCUUCUGCCCAUUUUAUUGUUACAAGCAAAGAAGCAGCUUCUUCAUUUAAAGCUUCUUUAGCUUCUUCUUCGUCGUACCAUCAAUGGAAGGCCAAUGUUUUCCCUAGUAAUGCUGUCACCUAUUUAAAGUCAGAUCUAGCCCGGAGAUUCAUUGUCCCAGUCGAGAAGGAACCAGAGAAAGUAAUGGCAAUUAGAUCAAGACUCUUUAAGGCCAUUGAAGAAUCAGGGCUGUCAGUUAUUAUAUUUGCAAGAGAUUGUGCUUCUUUACCUUGGUGCUUUGAAGAACUUGUCAAGAUUGUCGGAUUCGUGGAUGAGAUGAGAUCGGACACUGUGUUUCCAGUUUCUUGUGAUGUCGAACAAUCAAAGAUAGAUGAUCAAACAGAGAGUUACACAAUUGUCUUUGAUAAGAAUGAAGAAAAUCUCAGGGAAAAUGAGGAGAAGGUGCAAAGAUGGAGGAAUAUUCUCAAUGAAGUUGAAAUUUCAUCUGGAUGGAAAAGGUAAUAAUUACUUCUUCUUUUUUGUGUGUAUAGCUCGACUUAUCAACCACUUCAAGUAAAUGAAACUGGGAAUGCUGAAAUAUCAAAUUUCAGAACUUAAUGUUAACAAAUCUGCACCGUGCAAGGUUCAGUACAUAAUGAGGUUACAAGUUUUUUUUUCAAGGUAGAUUAUGAAUUUAAGAAAACUUAAUAUUAAACUUAGUUGAGUUUAUAGUCUGCAUUAACCCGACAUGUUUUACUAUGGACAAUAUUGUUUACUUUAUUUUUUUUAGGUUUGUUAUAAAUUCAAAGGGAGAAAAAUAUUGAACCUGUUGAGUGCAUUAUCCAGGUCACAAGUUUGUUUUUAAAGGUUGGAGUAUAAAGUUUUUUAAAAAAUUUCAACCCAGUUGAGUAUUUUUUAUAAAGAUUGAGUUUUUUUAUGGUGUUGUGUAUUUUUAAUUUUUGAAUUUGUUUUUUUUUUAAGUUUAAUAUAAAUUUAAGAGAAAACAAUUAUUGAACCUCGUUGAAUUCAUGGUUCGAGUCACAUAUUUAAUUUUUUUUAAGGUUUAAGGAAAACAAUAUUGAAACCGAUUGAGUUCAUGAACUGAGUUACGAGUUUAACGAGUUAAGCCACAAUAACCAAAUAAUUUUUUUUUUUCUAAUGUUGCUUUUUUUUAUUGAUAUCUUUUUUUAUAUAUCUUAUUUUAGAUAAUUUUCAAUUUAUGUUUCAAUUAAUAUCACUCAUCUAUGAUUUGUUUUGUUUAUUUAACUUUUUUUUAAUAUAAAUUGUUUUUUGAUGGUGUUGUAUGUAUUUGUUUUUAAAUGUUGAAUAUAAAUUUAAGAGAGAACAAUAUAGAGUCUGGUUGAGUUCAUGGUCUGGGUCACAUGUUUAAUUUUUUUUUGUUAAAGGUUGAAUACAAAUUUAAAAGGAAAACAAUAUUGAACUCGGUUGAGUUUAUGCUCCGAGUCACGGAUUUAACGAGUUAAGCCACAACAACAAAACAAUGUUUUUUUUUUCUGAUAUUGCUUUUUUUUACUGAUAUUUUUUUAUAUAUCUUUUUUAAAAUAUUUUUUUAAUUUAUGUUUCAAUUAAUAUUCCACAUCCGUGAUUAUUUUUUUGUUUCAAUUAAUAUUCCUCAUCUAGUAUGUAAAAAAGCGUCAUCUUAUUUUUUUCACAAACAUCUUGCAACAAAAAAAAAAGUUAGUGGGCGUGGGCCCUAACAAAAUGCGGCAAUUGGGUUGGCUUAACUUAGUAGUCCCAACAAUGCCUGACCUUUGCUUCUUCUUUUUUUUCUGUUAUGUGUUUUUUUAAAAAAAUUAUAUUUAGAUUAACAUCCCUUCUUUUUUUUUUUAUGUUGUUUAGAGAUCCUCUUUGAAAUGAUGGUUAAUUUUUAGUUAUGCAUUUAAUUUUUGAGAAAGUUUUUCUUACUCAUUUAUAAUUUUUUUAAUUUUUUGUACAGAUGAACUUUAUUCUUGAAAAAAAAAAAUUUUAUUUUCAAAUAAUAUUUCUAAUAUGUGCAGCCUUGCAUAUUAUUUUUUUUCAUUUUAUUUUAUUCAAUCAAUUUAAUGUGUAUAUCUACUUUUAUUAUCGUUUGAUUGAAUAGAAAACUUGUUUUAAUUAAUAAAUUUAGUAAAUACAAUCGCGUAAAUAUCACGUAUUUUGAAAUUAAAUAUCUUAAUCUAGACCAAUUUCUCGAUUUUUGCACUUUUAUUUUUAGUUGUAGUUUAUAGUUGUUUUUCUUACUUAUUAACACAUAUAAUUCUUGAUUUAUUUGAUUAUAUUUAUGCAUAAUUUUUUUUUUCACUUAGAAUUUUUUAAAUACAAAAACAUGUUGAAAAAAUCUAUCUAUAAAUUUUUUAUUAAUUUUUUUUUUAACACCCAACAAAACAUGUAACAUCGAUUCCAUGUACAGUUUGACUAUACCUCAGCUGCAGCAGCUGCUCGAGCAGGAGGAGCAGAACCUGCAGCAGUAGGAGCAGCAGCUGCAGCAGUUGCUCGAUCAGCAGGUGCUCUGGCGGCGGCGGCGGCGGCGGCAGCAGCAGCUCGAUGAGCGGCGGCAGGUGCUCCAGACGGAUUUUAGGUUAUAUCUUUGGUGAACAUCUUGGAUUCAAUUUGCCAAAUUCUCAGUUAUUCUUGAAUUAACAUAAAUCUUGCAACUCAAGAUAAUUUUUUUUUUUUUUUUUACAAAGACUUAUUUUUAUUAAUUUAUAUUUUGUAUUUUAUAUAUUUCCUUCUAUUUUUAGUUAAAUAUAUAUUUUUUUACUAAUUAAUAAACAAUUUUUAUUAUUAAUAGCUUUAUAUUUACAACUAUAUAAACACAUAAAUAUUAAUAUAUAUAAUCACUUACUCGAAAAUUGGACUUGCUUCGUUUGUAACUGGCGAAAUAUCAACCCAUGAAGAUUUUAUGGGAAAACCCAGUUUUAUUUUUUUGAGAAAUAGUGGUAGUACUAAUGGGAAUCGGUGUGGUGGAUUUUGUCCAAGAGGGUAUGUGAGUGUAGCUGAGGCAUUGUCAUCAACAGAUGUUGAAGAUAAUGUGUCUGGUGCCGAUGAAGUGCAAGAAUUGCAGCCAGAAAUGAGGAAAGAAGAGGAGCACUUUAGCAGGAGGAGGCUACGUGCUAACCCUGGAAUAGGGUCAAGGAAGCAUAGGGUCUUAAGGAGAAGGCAAGUGAAGAUUGAGGCGGAAGCAUGGGAACUGGCAACGAAAGAAUAUAAGGAGCUUUUGAAGGAUAUGUGUGAGCAUAAGUUGGCUCCUAAUUUGCCAUAUAUGAAGAGUUUGUUCCUUGGUUGGUUUGAGCCUUUUACAGAUGCAAUUGCGAAAGAGCAGGAGUUGAUUAGAAUGGGGAAGAGUAGGCAGGGUUAUGCUCCGUAUUUUGAUCUGUUGCCAGCUGACAAGAUGUCUGUUAUUGCAAUGCAUCAACUUGCAGCAAUGGUAAUGACAGGUGGGGAACAUGGAUGUGCAAGAGUUGUGACUGCUGCUUGUAUGAUUGGUGAUGCAAUUGAGUGCCCAUAUAAAAAUAUUGAAAGAUAAGGGAAAACAUAAAGUUUCUUAAAUUUACUUUUAGACAACCUUCAUCUGAGGUGAUGAACUAGGACGAAAGAUGAAAGUUACUUUGUACAAUUAUGAGAUAAAAAUCAGCUAUGGAGCUAGUAGCGCCUGGAAAAUUAGAUUUUGAAGUUCCGUUCCGUAAAGUUUUGUUGAAUGUUGAAUGGGGUUUUUCUGGAUUUCUUUUUUAUAUAUCUAUAGUUUUUACUCUCAGUCCAAGUUCUUCUGCUGUUCAUCGUUCCAGGGAGGACACUAAAUGUAGGUAGGAAAAACAAUGUAGUGUAAGAUCCUUUAGAUACCAAGUUUUUACAAUUUUUUCAUUAUGUAUUAAACUUUUCAUAUCACGGGCCUUAUUAGGCUGAAUAUUCUAUUACGCCUUUCUUUUUUGAUCUAAAAUUUCUUCAAAGCAUGGACAUGGUGGACUCAUAAGAGUGACAUUUCAACUUUCCUUUGUCAGAGCUCAUCUCAUGUUUCGACAUUGUUUCACUAUGGAUUUAUACUUUUGCAUUUCCCUGUUGGGGACAGCAAUUAUCUUUAUCAUUUCAAUUAUGUGUGUUCUUGUUUGUGCCUUUGUUUUGUAAGUUGUUUAAGUUUUUCUCUUAGUUAGACUUUAAAGGCACGCGUGACACUUUGCUCUACUGUCUCUUCUGACUAUGGGAGGUGCUUCCUCUUUUCUUUUCCUUUUUUUUUUUUAAAAAAAGAACUAUACAAUGAAGAGAUAUUUAGGUGUACCAUUCUUAAUCCAUUUUUUGGAACUCCUAACUCUUCAGUCUUGUUCUCUUUCUUUGAACCGAGGACUGAAUCUGUAACAGUUUCUGUGAUGAAACAGAUUAGAAUACACAAUAUCUUGGAGAAAACAAGGAAGAAAAAGGAAAAGGCUAAUGAUAGCAAGAAUGGUGUAGAAGGUGAAUCCCCUGCUGUCAUGAAGGAACAAGAAAACCUAAGAAAAAAGGUUACUGAUUUGAUUAAAAAACAAAAGCUGCCAGCUGUGAGGAAGAUUGUGAAGGCGAAGGAUGAUUCAAAACCAUGGAAUGCAGAUGCUAGGGCUAAGGUUUGUGUGCUUGUAAUCAUUGAUAAAGGCUAAUUUUCUUGCACAAAUGUAUCGUGUACGAAUUUGAUUUCUGUCCUUGCACUUUGAGUGGUAUUUCUAUAAUACGACAAUUUAUAUAGUAUUUCUAUAAUACGACGAGGUUUAAUUUCUUUUCUUUUCAUGGUUAUCUCUCAGUGGAUAGCAGCAUCAAUCAUAAGAACUUCUAUAUUUAUAUUUAAUUUAAAUACUAAUUAAACGUGAUAAGAGUGGGAGUUAAAUAUAAUACUUUUAUUGGAAGCUUCUGCGAUGUGCCCAUCAAAUACGACUAUAGUGAAUCCCUGGAUAAGAGAUUGUUGCUUAAAAUAAUGUAUAACAAUGAGAAGAAGAACUUAAAAGAGUGUAUUGUGUGAUUGUUAAUGGGUGUGAUUUUGAAUUGUUAUUUGUGUAUGUUUGUUACUUAGUAAUCUUAAAUAUUUAUAUAUCUCAUAUCACAUGAAAUUAGCUUGGAAAGAGUGCAACAACAGAUAUAUCAUGCAUAGAUAACAUCUAAAAUCAUGUAUAAAGAAAUAUUUCCAAGGAAUCCUAGAGAUCGAAAUUCUCUCCAUCUGUGCAACUUCCCUUGGAUUCUCGCUUUUCGUCCUCACCAUUCUAAGGAUAUGCUUCCCGAGGACGUGCGAAGUAGAAACCAACAGCUUGGCCAAGUAGCAGUUGUUAAGUCAGUUCUAAAGAUAUUCGCUCUCUCUCUUUUUUAGGGGUCCUUUGGCCCCAUCAUGUAUAAAGAAAGAUUUAUUUGUGAAUGAAAAAUUGAGCUUUGUUCAUUAAAUUUUUUUUAAUUAUUUCUUGAUUAAAUUUUGUUUUUCAGUCAAAGAAAAAUUUAGCUUAUAUUUUGAGCAGAAAACACUUUUAAGAAGUUGUGAAAAAUUUAAAAAUAUCAUAUUACUUGCUAAUUAUGUUAAAUUUGGUCCUCAAACUUUUAAUUGCUAUAUAUUUUGUUUGAAUUUUUUUUUCAAUUUCAUCCCUUAAAAUUUAAUUUAAUUUGAUUUUUAUAUUAACUUUAGUUCUUAUUUUUAUGAUUGUUAUUUACUUUUUUCUUAUUAUUUUUUUAAUUGAAAUUUUUUAUCUAUCAAAUUUGAUCUUUAUUCUUUUAAUUAUUAUUUAUUUUAUUUAAAAUAAUAUAUGAAAUUAUUAUUUUUAUUAUUUUAAUUUCAUCAUCAUUAAAAUUAAAGGCCAUAUAUUAAUGGAUAGAUAUCACAAAGAUCACCGUACACAACUCAAAAGUGAUGCUCUAUACAAGUCUUGAGCAGAUUUACAAGCACCAAAAACUGUUUCCACCACCGACACCGACACAACGCAAAACCCCUGAAUUUACCCAUGUUUGUGUCAAUUCAUUUAUGCACUUUUGACCAAAUUUUUCUUUUGCUUUUUUAUGCUGUCCCACUGAGCAGACCUCUUUUGUUCUUUUGUGUGAAAAAAAAAACUAAAUAAAUUAAUUAAAAAAUAAAAAAAACUUUGGUUCAGUUCAAUUUCAGUUUUAAUUCUAAAACCGAUUGAACUACAUCAAGUCAGGGACUAGUCAUUAUUUUUAUAUUCCCGUUAUUAUUUAUUAUUCUAUAGAAGCUUUUGAAAAAAAAAAUUAACAUUGAUCAUUCAUUCACUUUUGAAAAAACUUUCUUUUGCCCUUUUAUGUUGUUCCACUAGAUGACCCCUUUUUUGUUUUUUUGUUAAUUGAAAUUAUAUUACAUGUAAUUGUUUCAUCUCAUUUUUAUUUUUGAAAAGUAAAUUUUCUUUAAUUAGAUUAUCCUUAAUAUUAAAUUAUCCCUUUGCUUUUUGCAGGUCUUGUCAAGCUGUUUGGUUUUUUAAUUUCAAAUGAAUCUAAUUAAACUGGUUGAAUUGAUUUUUAGUUUAUUUCAGAUUAUUUUUUCAUGAAAUGAAUAGGACAAUAAACACUCUUAAUAAUCAUCUUGCCUUUAACUUCAAUUAAUUAUCUCAAAUAGAGAUUAUCAAUUAAAAUUUCACAAACUUUACCGUUACUAAUAAUUUAUAUAAUUAUUAAUUUUAAGACUAAUAUAAUUAAUCAUAAUAUAUGCAAACUGCUCUAAUACUCUUGUUAAUAAUAAAAACAAAAUUACAAUCACAUCAGGCACAUGGUUGCAUUCAUGAUUGCAUUCGCUUUCACCCCCUGACUAUGAACAGGAACCCCAAUCAAAUGAAAAGAUUAAUUAAGAUAUGUGCAAACUGUGUUGGAUAUCCACAUUAAUAAAAAUAAAAAAAAAAUACAAUCUCAACAGGCACAUGGAAUUGAUCUCCUUGGUCCACAGCAUAUAUCCUUGGUCUGCAGGAACCCCAAUCAAAUGAAAUGGAUUUCCUGGAAAUUGAUCUCCUUGGUCCACAGCCGAUUCGAUUAACCAAGUCGGCUACCACUUGCAGCACAAUUCAUCAAAAGACGAUGUGAAUUAUCAUUUGACGUCAAACCAGGUGGAUUAUCAGCUGCAGCCACAAUUCACAAUUAUUUGAUGCAUAGCAAAAUAAUUAUUCAGAAUCACAGUACCUUGGCAGUCCUUUCCAGCCAAAUUGAUGUGUUGUGUGCUAAUCCGAUGAAAAUCAAGAUCCCAAAGAGGGUGAUGCCGCUGAUGUAGUAGUUGCAAUGCCGAGGACUUUUAUGUAUAUAUAAUUAUGUAUACUGUGUUUUUUAUUUUUAUUUUACUGGAUCUCAUAAUUAAAUUUUUGUUGCAUAAUUUUUAAUUAAUAAACAUGUAAUUAUAAAUGAAGGAAAGAAAAAAUUGGAUGGACUUGUUUGUUUCAAUUUUAUCUUUUUGGUUUUAUCUUUUUUAUUUGUUUUUUAAAGCCUUUUUUUAAGUCUUAAUCAAUUCUUUAUUUUUUAUUAUUUUUUUAAGUAUAAAAGUAUAUUCCAAAGAAUAUUUUAAAGUAAUUGGGCAAAUAACAUUGUUAGCCACGGAGAGAUCAAUGGUAUGGACAAAAUCAAUAGUAUAAUGAUUGGACUAAAAACCUUUCAAAGACAAGGGACCUCAUCAAAUCAAAAUCAAUAGUAUACGAUCCCUCAAACUCAUUAACCCCUCACAACUCACUAACCCAAUUUCUCUUGUUUUUGGAUAAUUAAAAAGAAUCCAUUUUUUAUGUUGUUUUGAAUUUUUUUUUAUUUACGAGUUUAAGAGUUAAAAUGUGCUUUUAGAGAUGAAAGAAUUGAGAUUAAAGGAAAGUAUGGAGGAGAGCUUGAUUCAAUUUGUUUUGAUUUUUGAUUUUUUAUUUCGUAAAUGUAAGAAAACUUUUUUCCAUGAUGAUUCAUUAUUUUGUUUUUUAUGUUUGUUCUUGAAUUGAGUAGAAUUGGUAUAAUGUAAAGUGAUUCAUGACCUGUUUGGAAAUUUGAUUUUUUUUUUAAAUUAUUUAUAUAUAUGUUUUUAAAUUGUAUUGAUGUAUUUAUAUCAAAAUUAUUUUAAAAAAAUAAUAAAAAUAAUUAUUUUUAUAUAUUUUAAAAAAAAUACUUUAAAAAAUAAUCACUACCAUAUUUUCAAGCACUUAUAAUGAAAGGUUUGAGAUGAGAUAUUGGUAAUGAGAGAAAAAUGGGUGUUUGUGAUAAAAAUAUUAAAGUUUGAGAUUCUAAACUCAAUUCAAUAUGAUUUUGUUUUUCGUUAAUUAGUUUCAGUUAAUAGGGUGGUACGUGGCUAAGUUUAUUUUUUUUAAAAAAAUCAAUGGGAAUUUAUAGUAUUUAAUAUAAGAGUUUUAUAGUUAAUAGUUUGAAAAUUCAUUAAAAAAUACUUUUCAAUUGUGAUGUGUGUGGCCCGGCCCUGCUCUUGACAGGAAGGUGCCUCUGCUUCCCAAUGCGCGUUCGAUAUCCCUUUCAUUUCUCUUUUUACUUUUUCCCCACCGAAACUCCAUCUUCUUUACAGUGUAAGAAAAAGAUCCGUAAGGAAACUUACCAGUACGAGUGAGUUCUUGACCUAAAGUAACCGGAAAAAAUUCGAAGUCAUUGGAAUAAAAAGAAAAGAAAAGGGCUUUCGAAGUUGGUUACUAAGAUACCAGAAGUAGGAGAAAUAUUGGAUUUGUACUUCGUGUUCAAGUUAUGGUUAUACAAGAGGUUGGAUUCAGUUUUGUUAUACAAGCACUGGUAUAUUAAAAAUUAUAAAUCAAUAAUAACAACAUUAUUAUUAUUAUUAUUAAUCAAGAUUAAAAUUAAUAAAGAAAUAAAAGACCAUGAUGUUUUUGGUCCACAGCCUAUUUUCUCCGAGACCGUGCGCAACAAUAUGGUGGUGGCGGAUUCAGUCAGCUGGACCAGUGGUAUGAUGAGACCAUGUUUUUGUGCGACAAUAUGGCUUUUUAUUCUUUUGUGUGAAUAAAAAGAAUAUCUAAAAAGAACAAAACCCUCAAAUAUCAAAUCUUUAUAUGUUUGAAUAUCUAAAAAGACGAAAAAGCAAAAAAUUUCAAACUUUUUUCCUCAAUUUUUUAAAAAAGGGGAAAAAAAGCAAUAUAGGUCAUGGAUUUCUUUUCUUUUCUUUUCUUUUUUUGUUACAUGGAGAGUAGUUAGAUCUCAUUAAAGCAAAUAAUUCAUCAAUCAUAAUCAAUACUCAAAACAAAGCAUGCAAGUAAACCAUUAAUAUUAAUGUUGAUGGUAAAAAAAUAAAAAUGAUGUGUAAAUUGAGAUGGAGAGCUAAACAUAUAAAAAGACCAAAAAACAAAACGAAUGCUACAGUCAAAUUUUGAACAUCUAAAAGAUAUCUUGUGUGCGACUAUUUCCAUGUCACUAUGCACGACAGAAAAAAGAGAAGAUGCUAUAAAAGAAUGUGUGGAACCAAGUAAAACAAUGAAUAUCCAACAACAACGGAGUUUGAAAUUGAUGAAUUAAGAUUUUAUCUGUAUAUUUUUAUAAAAAUUCAAGAAAGAUCUAUUUGGUUAAAUUUUUAAAAAUAUAAACAUGCAUCAAUAAAAACAUGUCAGGUCUGAUGCUAUUCAAAUCUAGGCAUAUUGGGCUUGGUAGUAUACCAAGUCCCGGACAUGCUACAUCUCGUCGUGUGAAAUGACCUUUUUUUCUUGGGCACGCUCAAGAUAAUGGAUAUCCUCUCUUGAGUGUAAUCUAUGAGAAUAGCUCAUCCUCUAUGAGCAUUAGCUACAUAUGAUGUAUAAAAGUCAUUCAAAGAUCCAUCAUAUUUCAUCAAAUAUUAAUAUAAAUAUAAGAAAUAUUUAUCUAUCAUUAAAUGUUAAAAGGAUUUCUUCACAAAAAAACAAGAUUCAUAGGCUAUAAAUACACAAUGAAACUUUCAGAAUAAAGAUUUACAAUAUUCAUUUUUUACUGCAUAUAUAAUUUCAAAGUAUCUCUUUCUAAAAUAUUAUUGUAUUUUUUUCUUUUUAAAAUGAUAUUUAUUUAAAUAUGGAUUUCAUCAUAAAUCAUGUUCACAGUUAAAAAAAAAAAUUAGCUGAUUCAGCAAAGCAAGUUAUAAAGGGCAAGAGCAACACAAUCCAUAGACACAGUGUUCAUCCAAAUCAAUUGGAAAUUGAUGAUCCAAAAAGCAGGAAGCAUUACAAACAACGCCAAUUUAUAAUUUUUUAUUAAUCAACCCCUGCUCUUGACGGGAAGGUGCCUCUGCCACCCAGUGCAACUCAAAUUUCGACAUCCCUUUCAUUUCUCUUUUUGCUUUUUCUCCACCGAAACUCCGUCUUCUUUACAGUGUAAAAAAAAGAUCAGUAAGAAAAUCCAGGAAACUUACCAGUACGAGUUCUUGACCUAAAGUAAUCGGAAAAAAUUCGAAGUCAUUGGAAUAAAAAGAAAGAAAAGGGCUUUGGAAGUUGGUUACUAACAUACCAGAAGAAGAAAAACUAUUGGGCUUGGCUGGAUCUUGUGCCUCUUUAGCCAACACUUACCACUCGGUUUGUUACGUCUAGAUUCGUGAAAUACUCGUAGAAAUUUGGUGUUUUCUGAUUUCUAAGUAGAAUUGUACUUGUUCCAGCUUGAAAUUGCUAUUUGGUAGAUUUAAUUGCCGAAUUUCUUGAUCUUACCUUCUGUUUCAUGUUUGACCACAGGAGCAGGCCUUGUACAAAAUAGCGUGGAAAGCAAUUGCUGAACCAAGCUAGCUUAGUUGGGGCUAGAAGGGAUCGGUACUAAUUUAUUGCUUUAGGGAUUUUCAUGGCUUCCACCAGCGUGCAAGGAAUGACCUCAUCUUCAUCUUCUUCUCCUCCACUAUAUAUGUAUGAUGUGUUCCUUAGUUUUAGAGACAAAGACACCCGGAACAACUUUACUAGUCAUCUAUAUUCUAAUCUGAAACAGAGAGGCGUCGAUGUAUAUAUGGAUGAUAGGGAGCUCGAGAGAGGAAAGACCAUCGAACCUGCUCUCUGGAAGGCCAUCGAAGAAUCAAGGUUUUCUGUCAUUAUAUUUUCAAGAGAUUACGCUUCCUCACCAUGGUGCUUGGAUGAACUUGUCAAGAUUGCUCAGUGCAUGAAAGAGAUGGGGCACACUGUUCUGCCAGUUUUUUAUGAUGUGGAUCCCUCAGAGACAUAUGAGAAAGCCUUCUUUGAGCAUGAACAAAAUUUCAAGGAAAAUUUGGAGAAGGUCCAGAUCUGGAAAGAUUGUCUCUCUACAGUGACCAAUCUAUCAGGCUGGGACGUACGGAAUAGGUAAAUCAUCUAUCUAUCUAACAUAGCUUAUACUCAAAUCCUCCCUGUAUUGUUUCAAUGAUGAUCAUAGCUUUUUGUUUUUUUUUCAAUGUUUUUCAAUUUAAACGUGUGAUUAAAUAUCGAAAUAAUCACAAGACAACAAGAGUAUCAAAACUAAUUCUUGAGUAAAUAAUUAUUAGUAUAUAUUUUUUAUUCCUUAAAUAGCUUUUUAACGAACCUUUUGUCUAUGAUCAACCUAUUUUUUCUUUAAUUUUGACUUUUAAAAUAAAAGAGGAGCACGUCUCAAAUCUCAAUUGUCACAAUUUUUAAGAAAUAAAAAUUGAAAACAAAUUAAAAAAAUUCUUGAACUUUUUGCUAAUUUCUAUUAUUUAAUAGAUCGAAUAAUAAAAUUUCAAUUAUCUAAAUUGAAUUGAAUUAUUGAGGCAUCUUUAGAAAAAGUCAAUAUUACAAAGACAUUUUUAGUAUCAUUAGAAUAUUUUUUCCUGAUUGUAUUAUAGAAUAACAGAGGAUAACUUUAUCGAUUGUAUUAACAAAAAUUUAAAAUCCUUGAGAAAUGUCUUGAUUAAUUUACUAAUGGAUUGUAACAAUGAAUUUACUAAUUUUUCAUUCUAAAAAAAAAAAACUACUUAUCAGGGAUACUAGGGUCUUUUUAUAAGGGCAAUAGUUAUUAUAGAAUUGAUAGGGGUAGUUAGAUUACUUAGUUGCCUUUAAAAGUAAAAAUAAAUAAAUUAGCUAUAGGAGCUUUUUUAAGAUUUUUCACUUUUCAGGGUGCAAUAAAAUAACUUUAUUUCCUUUAAAAUUAAAGAUACUUACCUUGUCUUCAAGGGCUUAUUCAUGCUUUUAUUUUUUUGCGAUAAAAAAAAGAAGAAAAGUGGUUGGCUUGUUUGUAGAACACACAAGCGAGUAAGUUGUUCUACCUUAUUUAAGCAGCACGAGUAAUGGCUUAUGACACCCAAAAAAGGCCUUCAUUGAUGUUUUUUGAUUAAUCACGACAUGACCUACCUCCCUAAGUGGCAUGUGUGGAGUAAUCCUUUCUGAUUUGGCACCAAAUUACUUUCGCUUCUUUUCUUUUCUUUUGUCUUUAUCCUUGAAUUCCGCACCCGACCUUCAACACUUGUAUAGUAACUCUUCAAUUUGGUUAUUUUUUUUUCAUAUUUAGUCAAUUUUCUUUUAAUUGAUAUUUUUUAUUUGAAUUACUUUUUAGAAUUGAAAUUUGUUUUUAAUUUUAUACUUUUUAAUUUUUUAAUAUAUUAGAUUUGAUUCUCAUUCUUUUUAUUACUAUUUAUUUUAUGUGAGAUUAUUUUAAAAAAAAAUUUGGCGAUUUCAUCCUUCAUUUUUUUAUUGUUAUGGUUUUUUACCUUGACAAGUUUUUAAAAUUGAUAUAUAUAUAUAUAUAUAUAUAUUAUUUGUUAUUUCAUAUUUUAACAUUGAAUUAAACUUUUUGGUUGAAUCUGGAUUUAGGAUUUAACGGAUUGAGAAUUUUGGGCACUAACCUGGGUUUAGGAGAUUUGUCUAGGUUUUUUUUUAUUUUUUUAAGCUCAUGUUUUUUUUUUCCAGUUUCAUCAUUCAAUAUUUAAUUUAAUUAGAGACUAAGCUCUAUUAAUUUUUUUAUUUUCUUUCUAUAAGAUUUUUAAAUAAUUUUAAAAAUAAUCAGGCUUAUCUUAAGUCUUUUUAUUUCUCAUUAUUUGUUAAAUCUAGUUGCUAUUUUUUUUUAAAAAAAUUUAAUUGAAUAUUUUUUUAUGUUUAGCUUUUAAUAUUUGAUUGAUUGAAAUUGGGCUCUAUUUUAUUUUGAUAUGGGUUCCAUGUAGUUUUCACGGAUUUAUGUUUCGGAUCGCGAGUUUCACAAGUUAACCAUAGUUACUCCAGGUCGAUCUAGUGUGUUGUCAUCACAAUUAUAUUCUUAAAUAAAUAUAUCAUCCAAUGUAUUAUUAUCUUAAUAUUUUAAAAGUGUUUUUCUAGCAUGUAUUGAGUUUUUUACUUUCAAAUAUUGUUAUGUUUUUGCCCAACUUAAAUAAAAAUAAGUUUAUAUUAAUGAAAUGAUCAUUAUAUUGAAAUUAAUAUGAAGAUUGCAUAAAAAUUGAAAGAUUAAACAGAGAAGAAAGAUGAAGAAAUGGGUUGUGAAAAUUUGUGUUGUGAGAAGCGUAUGUGAUAUCAGUGCACCCCAAGGUGCGUGGAUUGGAUUUGCGCAACCACUUAAACUAUGUUAGUUUGGGAAAUUUUCUUUGGGCUAUGCUAAUAUGGGAAAAAACUCAAAAAUUAAUAAAUUUAAAGUUGUUUUUUUAAAGUUAAUUAUGCUAAAUAAUUGAAUUUUUUGUUAAAAAUAAUUAUAAAAAUAACUUAUGGAUAUUUUAUUUCCUAGCUUUUGUUCUUGUAUGCAUGCUUCUGUAGUAACUGUGUGAUUCUAUACGCAAUAAGAUAGCUAUUGUACGAAUGAUUCUUAGCAUCAAUACAAUCCUAGUUCCUUGUUCAGUUUAUUCUUUCCUUUUCCUCUCUGUUCUUGAAGCUAUCUAUUAUCAGGGCCCUAUUUUUCUCAAAGGUUGGUGUAUUAAUUUCCGGCUAACAGCCAUACAUUUUCGAGCUAUAAUAUGCUAAUGUUUAUUUUCCCAUUAUCACUAUCUGAUUUCAUUUCUGCACACAGCAUGAUUAAUGUUUUCCACCACCAUAUGCAGGAAUGAGUCGGAAUCAAUUAAAAUAAUUGCUGAAUACAUAUCGUACAAACUAAGCAUCACUCUGCCAACAAUUAGCAAAAAAUUAGUUGGAAUAGAUUCUCGCCUACAGGUAUUAAAUGGCUAUAUAGGUGAAGAAGUAGGCAAAGCAAUCUUCAUAGGGAUUUGUGGAAUGGGUGGCUUGGGUAAGACGACUGUUGCAAGGGUAGUAUAUGAUAGGAUUCGUUGGCAAUUUGAAGGCAGCUGCUUCUUAGCGAAUGUCAAAGAAGAUUUUGCUAGGGAAGACGGACCACGUCGUUUGCAGGAACAACUUCUUUCUGAAAUCUUAAUGGAACGUGCUUCUGUAUGGGAUUCUUAUAGAGGGAUUGAGAUGAUAAAGCAGAGGUUACGACUUAAAAAGAUUCUUCUUAUCCUUGAUGAUGUAGAUGAAAAAGAACAACUAGAAUUCUUGGCUGAGGAGCCUGGAUGGUUUGGUCCAGGGAGCAGAAUUAUCAUAACAAGCAGAGAUAAACAAUUGUUGACUAGAAAUGGUGUUGCUAGAAUUUAUGAGGCUGAGAAAUUGAAUGAUGAUGAUGCUCUUACGUUGUUUAGCCAGAAAGCUUUCAAAAAUGACCAACCUGCUGAAGAUUUCGUGGAACUAUCCAAGCAAGUUGUGGGUUAUGCUACUGGCCUUCCACUGGCUCUUGAAGUUAUAGGUUCCUUUAUGCAUGGAAGAAGUAUCCUUGAAUGGGGAAGUGCGAUUAAUAGACUAAAUGAUAUUCCUGACCGUGAAAUUAUUGAUGUGCUUCGGAUUAGUUUUGAUGGUCUCCAUGAAUCAGAUAAGAAAAUAUUUUUAGACAUUGCAUGUUUCCUGAUGGGGUUUAAAAUUGAUCGAAUAACAAGGAUACUUGAAAGCCGUGGAUUCAAUGCAGGUAUUGGAAUAUCAGUUCUUAUUGAGAGAUCUCUCAUAAGUGUCUCUCGGGAUCAAGUCUGGAUGCAUAAUUUAUUACAGAUAAUGGGUAAGGAAAUUGUUCGUUGUGAAUCCCCUGAAGAGCCUGGAAGGCGCAGUAGAUUGUGGACAUACAAGGAUGUCUGCCUUGCACUGAUGGACAACACAG
rnacentral:lncRNA from 1 species